CUAGGCCUACGGGGGGCAGCAGUGGGGAAUAUUGGGCAAUGGGCGCAAGCCUGACCCAGCAACGCCGCGUGAAGGAAGAAGGCUUUCGGGUUGUAAACUUCUUUUCUCAGGGACGAAGAAAGUGACGGUACCUGAGGAAUAAGCCACGGCUAACUACGUGCCAGCAGCCGCGGUAAUACGUAGGUGGCAAGCGUUAUCCGGAUUUACUGGGUGUAAAGGUCGUGUAGGCGGGGAGGCAAGUCAGA
rnacentral:rRNA from 1 species